rnacentral:rRNA from 1 species
AUUGAACGCUGGCGGCAUGCCUUACACAUGCAAGUCGAACGGCAGCACGGGAGCAAUCCUGGUGGCGAGUGGCGAACGGGUGAGUAAUAUAUCGGAACGUGCCCGGUCGUGGGGGAUAACGUAGCGAAAGCUACGCUAAUACCGCAUACGAUCUACGGAUGAAAGCGGGGGAUCGCAAGACCUCGCGCGAUUGGAGCGGCCGAUAUCAGAUUAGGUAGUUGGUGAGGUAAAGGCUCACCAAGCCGACGAUCUGUAGCUGGUCUGAGAGGACGACCAGCCACACUGGGACUGAGACACGGCCCAGACUCCUACGGGAGGCAGCAGUGGGGAAUUUUGGACAAUGGGCGCAAGCCUGAUCCAGCAAUGCCGCGUGCAGGAUGAAGGCCUC